AAAAAAUUUAGAAAAAACUUCAAAUACUUUCCAUUUCACACUUUCUCACUUUAGUACCCUAUGAUUUAAAGUGUAUCAAUUUAGUACCAUAUGGUUUCAUUUUUAUCUUUUUAUUAUCGAUUCCACUAAUUUUUUCAUUAAAUCGGUAGCAAAGUUAAAACUAAAGGGUACUAAAGUAAAUAUUUGAUAAACCUAUGUGAGGUAUCUGAAGUUUUUGAUAUAUAAUUUAACAAAAUAUUAAUGGAAAAGCUGGUGAAAAGAUAAAAAUGAAACUACAGAAUACUAACUUGAUAUACUUUAAACCAUAGGACACUAAAGUGAAAAAGUACGAAACUAUAAGGAUGGUAUUUGAAGUUUACCCUGUUAAAAAUUCUGUGCUCAGUGUAUUUAUAUUAACCAUACACGGCCUUCCACUAACCAUCCAUCCUAUUUAAUCUCUUAAUUAUAAAUAUUUUAAAGUUGCAGCAUUUUUUUUAUUUAAUAUUUAAAUCAUUAAAUUAAAAAAUAUAAUAAAAUAAAUA
rnacentral:lncRNA from 1 species